rnacentral:rRNA from 1 species
UACGUAGGUGGCAAGCGUUGUCCGGAUUUACUGGGCGUAAAGGGCGUGCAGGCGGUCUGUUAAGUCUAGGGUGAAAGCUCCCGGCUCAACUGGGAGAGGUCCUUGGAUACUGGCGGACUUGAGGGAGGCAGAGGAAAGUGGAAUUCCUGGUGUAGUGGUGAUAUGCGUAGAUAUCGGGAGGAACACCAGUGGCGAAGGCGGCUUUCUGGGCCUUACCUGACGCUGAGACGCGAAAGCGUGGGGAGCGAACCGG